AUUGUUGUGGUAUCGAUUA
rnacentral:siRNA from 1 species